rnacentral:rRNA from 1 species
UACGUAGGUUGCGAGCGUUGUCCGGAAUCACUGGGCGUAAAGCGCACGCAGGCGGCCCCGAAAGCCCACGGUGAAAUCUCUCGGCCCAACCGAGAGGAGCCCGUGGGAACUCCGGGGCUCAGAAGACGGGAGAGGCGGAUGGAAUUUCCGGUGUAGCGGUAAAAUGCGUAGAUACCGGAAGGAACACCAGUGGCGAAAGCGAUCCGCUGGCCCGCUCUUGACGCUCAGGUGCGAAAGCUAGGGUAGCGACCGGG